rnacentral:rRNA from 1 species
CUCCUACGGGAGGCAGCAGUGGGGAAUAUUGCACAAUGGGGGAAACCCUGAUGCAGCAACGCCGCGUGAAGGAAGAAGUAUUUCGGUAUGUAAACUUCUAUCGACAGGGAAGAAACAAAUGACGGUACCUGAAUAAGAAGCACCGGCUAAAUACGUGCCAGCAGCCGCGGUAAUACGUAUGGUGCAAGCGUUAUCCGGAUUUACUGGGUGUAAAGGGUGAGUAGGCGGUCAUGCAAGUCAUAUGUGAAAUGUCAGGGCUUAACCUUGGCGCUGCAUAAGAAACUGUAUGACUAGAGUGCAGGAGAGGUAAGCGGAAUUCCUAGUGUAGCGGUGAAAUGCGUAGAUAUUAGGAAGAACACCGGUGGCGAAGGCGGCUUACUGGACUGUUACUGACGCUGAGUCACGAAAGCGUGGGGAGCAAACAGGAUUAGAUACCCUGGUAGUCCACGCCGUAAACGAUGAGUGCUAGGUGUUGGCCAGAGAUGGUCGGUGCCGCAGCAAACGCAAUAAGCACUCCACCUGGGGAGUACGACCGCAAGGUUGAAACUCAAAGGAAUUGACGGGGACCCGCACAAGCGGUGGAGCAUGUGGUUUAAUUCGAAGCAACGCGAAGAACCUUACCUAAACUUGACAUCGAUCUGACAAUCUGUGUAAAGCAGACUCUCUUCGGAGCAGAGAAGACAGGUGGUGCAUGGUUGUCGUCAGCUCGUGUCGUGAGAUGUUGGGUUAAGUCCCGCAACGAGCGCAACCCUUAUCGCUAGUAGCCAUCAUUCAGUUGGGCACUCUAGUGAGACUGCCGUGGAUAACACGGAGGAAGGUGGGGAUGACGUCAAAUCAUCAUGCCCCUUAUGACCAGGGCUACACACGUGCUACAAUGGCGUAAACAAAGAGAAGCGAAGUCGUGAGGCAGAGCGAAUCUCAAAAAUAACGUCUCAGUUCGGAUUGUAGUCUGCAACUCGACUACAUGAAGCUGGAAUCGCUAGUAAUCGCAGAUCAGAAUGCUGCGGUGAAUACGUUCCCGGGUCUUGUACACACCGC